rnacentral:lncRNA from 10 species
GGAGAAAGAUUCUGUUAAAAAAAAAAAAGAGAGAAAGAGAGAAAGAAAGAAAGAGAGAGAAAGAAAGAAAGAGAAAAGAAAAGAAAGAAAGAAGAAAAAGAAAGAAAGAAAGAAAGAAAGAAGGAAAGAAAGAAAGAAGGAAAGAAAGAAAGAAAGAGAGACAGAAAGAGGCUUUAGUUCACUCCAAGGUGUUUUCCCAUGAAAGGGUUAUAACCUAUUUUGGAUUGAAACCUAUUACUAAUUAGUAAAAUUAAUUUAUUAGUUCAGAAUCUGCAUUAUUGGUUCAGAAUCUGCAUUUUUUAAAAUGUAAAGGGAGAGAAAUGUGAAUGCAUCCUAGGUAGAAAGGUGAAGGAAGCAACCUCCAGCCAACAAUCUCCUGAGAGGGCUGUCAGAAAGUCACCAGCCAAGACAGAGCUGACACCUGGUGUGCAGCGUGUGCUCCACGGAUGCUGCCUUUACAUUUGUACUGGGUACAUUUCUUAUAUUUUGAGGAUUGAGAGGCAGCUUCAGGACCCUGGAAUGUCCAAACUGUGUUAUCAGAAGGCAUUUCUGAGUCACCAUCCAGUGGGAAAAAGAUCUCAAAAAGGGACCAAGAAUAACAAAGUCAGCUGAUAAUCAUUUGUGUGGCAGAAUUCCAUCUGAGACUUACUGUCACUGUAACUGACAUCUGGCGGUGAGAAGAGAAUGAAGUGCCCACCCAAGAGAGUUGGGGGAAAACAAGGACUGGAAGAAAGACAUGAGGUUCUGGAAACGUCUCUCUACCUGGCUUGGGAGCACAGCUAGGAAAAAAGAAGGC